rnacentral:lncRNA from 1 species
GGUCUGGGCCGCGGGGGAGGUUGCGCGCUUUGUCUGAACUGCUGGGAAUGCGGGCGUGAGUGCGCGGCCCGGGGGAGUGUCGGGACCAGCUAGGGGAGUUGUCAGAAAGUUCGUGCGGGAGUGGCUGCAGGUGGCGUCGUGGGAGUCUGUAGGAGGGUGUACGGGAUGUUGUGUCGAGGGGUUGCUGCCACAGGUCACUGAGGGUAGAACUGAUUGUUAGUGUGAUGACGCCUGGAGUUUUCCCUGUCGGAGAGAUCGGGGGUGGCCGGGUCGGUUGGAGUUCGUGGGUGGGCGGGUACAGAAGUUGGGCUAGUUGUGUGGGUCACAGUUGUUCGUGCUAGGCCUGGGGUCUGUAAGCUGUGCGUGUGCGUGCUGUAUGCGUCGGUGAAAACCCUAGGGUUUGUAAGGCUUGAGCGAUGGGUCCGGGCCAGUUAUCCUAGCGCUGUUGGUUAAUUGCCUGGCGUGAGUGUGUCUGGGUGCGGUGUGGGGUGCAUAUGUGGGAAGCCUCCCAGACUACAGAUGGCCCUGUGUGGCGGAACACCGAGGUGGAGAAGUUUGUGUAGACUGAGGGGUCAUUCCCCAGGGCCCACCCGGGGAACCCUGCAGACAGACUUGGCUGGCAGCCAGGGUGGAAUUUGUACAGAUAACCUUGAGUACUUCUCACAGCCGGCCAGGGCUGCAUCACUGAGCCCAGAUCCCAGUGGCCUGACUGAAAGGGUAGACCCUUCCCUCGAAAGCCUGGCCUAGCCAGCCCAGAGAUCUGGGCUCGGGUCCAAGAAGAGGAAACAAAACCUGGGAGAUGCCAGAGUCUGUUGGCCGGCCUGCUGGGGAGCUGUUAAAAGGCUGAGAAGGGAGGAGCCUUGAGAUCCUGGCAUCAGCCUGGCCUAGAACUUUUGCUUUUAAAAUGAAAAUCUGGCUGGGCGGGGUGGCUCACACCUGUAAUCCCAGAUCUUUGGGAGGCCGAGGCGGGCAGAUCACCUGAGGUCAGGAGUUCAAGACUAGCCUGGCCAACAUGGCAAAACCCUGUCUCUACUAAAAAAAAAAAAAUAGCU